rnacentral:pre_miRNA from 1 species
GGAAACUUAGAAACUACCGUUGAAUCGAGAAAUGGACGUCCGAGAUUCGUCCACAUCAUCAUGAGUUAAAAUUUAACUCGCAGAUUCACUCAUGAGUUAAAAUUUUAUUGGGAGUUAAAUUUAACUCAUGGUGACGUGGACGAAUCUUGGGCAUCUAUUUCUCGAUCCAAUAGUAGUUUCCAAGUUUCC